GCUGCUGCACCACUGGUACAGUUACCAGUUUCUAUUCUGCAGUGCACUGCUAAUCAUUCCAUGCUUGGUUGGCAGUCUGAACGAACCAGCUGCCAAAGAGACAUCUUUGCAUUCCCUGUGCUUCCUGUGCAAUGGCAGAGAGGGGAGUUUCUCCAGUGCAGGAGCUAUUUAACCCAAGCACUCUCAGUUCUGCUAAACUUUGGAUAAAACAAAUUGAGAGCUAGGAAUAAGAAGCUGAGGUUGUUAAAUAUGCUAGCAGUUGUGUUAAGAGCCAUUUCCUCAGCUGGCUUUUAAACAUUUUUAAAGGGAGGCAUAAAAAAGAGCUUGUUUUUACUGCCAUCAGGUGUGCAAGAAUGCAAAUAUAGGCUGUUCUCACCUGCAACCUAGCAAAGGCAAUGGCACAGUUCCCUUUGCUCCCGGGGCAUCUUGGCCAAGGCCCGUUGACUCAUCUGGUAUGCUUUGUCCAUGUGUUAUAUACCUGCCUUCUCCUCAGGAAAUCCUACAGAAAUAGGUGGGCAAAGCUUAAUAAUCCUAAUAAAUACCUGCUGCAUCCCAUACAUGCUGUAUAACAGAGAAAUGUGUUUCCUUUUUCAUUCCCAUGCUCUAGUAGUCCAUGGGUGAAAUAUGAAAAUAGUGGAAAGGAUGAAAGGAUGACCACACAUUUGUGAAAUUAAUUUGUUCCAAUGGCGCUGAACUUUUCUGGGUGACACUGACAAGAAUCAAGAACAACACAGCAUGAAAUUAGGCAGCAAGGACCAUGAGCAGCAAAAGAGAGGGAAGAACUAUUUAAUUUGAUCCAGGCAUAAAUUUCUAGAAGUAAUGGAGCCUUGCUGGACUCGGGGUAGAAGCAGCGUUCUUUGUUCCCUCUGCAGACAGCAGGAAAGAGUAGAAACCAACAGCAGCCAGGCUUUUAGAUAACAAAGAGUGU